AUCCCUAGAAUGAAUACCACUUCAUCAUGGACAAUUGGAGAAAAGGGUUGUCUUACCAAGGCUUUCACUGGAAUGGCAUGCUUUCCUUUAAGGAAUCAAAUUUGACUUAUAGAGCCAAUAAAAACCCCUUGGGAAACCUGGCUUCAUACCUUGUCUACACAGUCCUGUACAGAGUUGCUGACCUGUGGUAAGUAAAGAAUGUCACUUUCUAACAGAUCAGGAGGUCAAAGUUAUUUUGGGACCUCAAGAGAAGAGAAAUUUACCCCACUAGGUAUUUGAUGGUACAAAUCCAUGGCCGGCCUGGGGUUUAAAAAAGUCUUAUCUGAGAUUCCUUCUAUGGAACAAAGUUCCAUCAAAGCCAAGUUAAAAGCCUAUGUGAAAAAUAACUAUUCUUGUUGCACUUUAUGAUAAUAAUGAGGCCAAGUAUAAUAAGACUAAAGUUUAUUUUUUGGACAAAUCAAUCCUAUCAUGAUUUGUUUUUAACAAAAAUGAGGACUAGAGAGACAGAAAUUAUGUUUCAAAAGUUAUGGUACACCUAUCAUUAGAUUCUAGUCUCAUCAGUUGUUUUUAAGUUUUUGUCUGCAUUUUAGAACAACCCUGCUUAUUCCUGUGAACCAACCAGUGAUCUCUUGCUGCAGCUCAGAAGAAAUAAACAGGAUGGGUAAUGUAAAAAUCUAGAUAAUAUUCUAAUUACGGGCACACAUUGGAAUUGGCUAGCAGCUCAAUGCAUCCAAGUUUUAGCAGGCAUGUCUAUAGCUACCAGUUACCUUAGCAUGUAGUGUUGACUGCCUCAGGAUUUUUUGGAGCUGUUUUCACUACCUUAUUUCAUUUUAACAUUCUUCUAAUUAUAAUAACCUAAUUUGUCUCCUCUGCUUUAGGCCAUCAUGCUCCAGAAGAUUCUCAGUGAGGGAUACUGUCCUCUAAAUUUUCAAGAGGCACCCUUCUACAGGGGACCCCUAGGCUGCCCAUCAGUGGGACAGGAAGGAUGUGAAAUCCUGCCCAUCUCCCUUUGACCUGGCUAUACACUGCUUUCACCAACACACAGAGUCACCCUCCUGCCCUCACAGCUAGCAAGAGGCCAAGACCCAGAGAAUCACCACCACUUUGUCAGUGGGAGGUAGUUAUAGAACACUGACCACCAAGUUUACCCCAAAGAUGUGGGGUAUUGGGCUCUUGACAGGGGGAAUGUUACAGACAGUUAGAUAGGCAUGAGUAGGGCAGAGGAAGGCUUCCCCCACCCACCAGGAAAAUCAGGUGAUGGUUCGACAAUUAUCACAUUGCCUCUCUGAAAAUGAUAAUUGGCAGCUGGUGCCAGGGGAAGGCCAGUUCCUGAUGGUCCACACCUGUUGCACUUAAGUGUUAAUUGAAUGCAGGCUCCAGGGAGAAACAACUUCCUGGGCAUGUGCAUUAAGAGACAAAAUGGGCCAGGCGCAGUGGCUGGCGCCUGUAAUCCCAGCACAUUGGGAGGCUGAGGCGCGCAGAUCAUGAGGUCAGGAGAUCGAGACCAUCCUGGCCAACAUGGUGAGACCCCCCCGUCUCCACUGAAAAUACAAAAAUUAGCUGG
rnacentral:lncRNA from 1 species